UAUUUCUAGACGUCUUUUUAUGCAUCUGUGACUGCGGUCACUUACCAUCGGCGAGAGUAAUCGCAGUAGGCCGCUGUUUAACACAUUUUUCGCAUUUCCCACCGUCGCGCGCGCGUGUGCACUCGGCCUACUAUGUUCAGCGCGGAGUGACAAGCUCUCGCCGCGGCGGGAAGAUUGACAGAUUUAUGCAAUCAUUAUUAGAAUUCUAUCAGCUCAUUAAGAUGACUGCACUGCACUGCACCGCGCACCGAGUAAUGAUGGUGGCGGCAUCUAUUGAGCGAGAGUGAGCAACGCACGAUACAAUGUCUGCUUUUGCCACGGCAGUGGCGGGCUUGAAAACCGAACACAAGAAUCCCAUUGUUGUUGGUUGCGUUGCAAGCGACACCCACCUGCUGCUGCGCUGAUGAUGAGAUGCUGCCUUCUUCGUCCGAUUCAAAGAGUGCUUUUGUCGAAGAGAGUCAUUUUUCAGUGCGGUUUCACUUGUCUGAUUAACACCUUUCUUGUCGCCCAUUGGAGGGGUACUUUGUUGUCACACUUUGAUCCCGUCGAAUAACAGUACAUUCCCCGCCGCUUCGCGAUCGUGAUCAUUGUGAGAACUUGGUUCCGCGCAGAUUCCGCAGGAUGGGUGGACGGUCCGUCGUGGCAAACAGGAGGAAGAGCUGUUCACAUCCCAGUUUUGAUGCACGUGACAUCCAGAGGGUGUUCCGAACGCCAAUUACGUAACGGAACAUGAUCGCGCGGUGAUCGUUCCGUAAUCCGGGAGCGAUCGUGUUCUCCAGAGAAUGCACGAUCUAGCCUUCGGGAAAUUCGGUGUUCCGGAGAAUUCCCCAUUCAGCGCUGACAUGUCGGCGGCAAGAUUCUUUCGCAACUCUGCAGCCGGACAAAGGAAUCUCCCCAGAGGGAAAACUCGACCCGAUCGCUUUGUAGUUCGGUGUGUGAUAAUUUUCCAACAGUUUGCUUUGGGAUCUCUUUCUUGUUGACGUCGGGGUAGAACGUUCUCAAGAGAACGCUCCGUGCAUGCGGAGCUGCUGCACCGAUGCCAGCGAGCCCUGUGGUCAUUUCCCAUCGAAAACGCGCGACACGGUUCAUAAUUAAUAAAGUACCUUCCUUUAGUCUACGUUGCAGACAGCCUGCAAACAUAGCCUGCUUUGACGUAGUUUGUUUAUGUCAAAUCGUUGUUGCCGUUGCACGGCAACGAAGGUGGUAUUCAACUCCGUAAAAUCGCGCAAAAUGGGGAAACUGACCGCACGGUUUGCUACGCCUACUCCGCCUCCUUCUUCCUUGAUUCCAGAGCCAGAUCUUUGGUUUCGUUGGCACUGUCUGCGGGAUCGGAUCGCAAACGAUCAAUCCCGCCGUCAUCGAUCGAGCGAGAGUAUAACGACGUGGCGAAAGGGUCAUUAAUUAUGGGUCGUAUCUUCCUGUGUUGUUUCGCGGGACCCCCGCCCUCACGUACGGCGAUGACGAAAACUAGAUCGACCUACUUAGGGCGCUUUGCGGCAUCGCAUCGCCGCGGUUCAGGUUCAGGUCGGUUCACAACGACAAAAAUCUGCGCCGCGCGAUGGUUACCAUGGCGAAGGUGAUCGGUCGGCUGGCUGGGACACACCGCACACAAUAAUCAUUCAUUUAUCUUGCCUCCGGGCGGGUCGGGCAUUUCAGGUCCCCACCCGCUGCCUCCACCCAUCCAUGCCGCGCCGGGCCGUCGGACGU